UUAAACCAGGGGUUGCUAUAGAAACCGGUAAACAAACUUAUGAAAAUCAUAGUGUUGGGUACAUGCCUGUUACAUAUGCGCCCUAUCAAGCGGAUAUAAAUGGGGGUUCUACACCAUGUAUAUCUACACGGAUAUUAUAGAAUAUCAAUCAGUUGGAGAUCAUCAUGUUCUACUACUAAGGUGAAAGAACGUUAUCUGCACAUUCAUCUCUCGCUGCUUUGCCUCGUGUGAUAUCGCCACUGAGAGUGAAAAGCAGUCACGGCUCACUGAGUGUUUCACGAUGUGACAUUUCGCCGCUAAGAGCCGCAUGCUUACCAUUAAACUCCGCUGACAUUUACCGAGAGAAGGAGAAAAAGAGAGAAAUGGACGUGUGUCAGGUUUGACAUGUCUAUUAUCACAUUCCUGAGGAGAUGAAUGGAUUUUCUGAGUCAUUUCUCUAAAGUGGACCGCUUCACUUGGCACCAUGCGGAGGCGUGUUGAGGUAUCUGAAGAAUACAUCUUCACACAUCCGUGAAGGAGAUGGAGGGAUGCACCAUCGUGGGAGGGAAUACCGUGUGUGUGUAUGUGUGUGUGU